UUUUUGAAGAGUUUGAUCCUGGCUCAGGAUGAACGCUGGCGGUGUGCUUUAGGCAUGCAAGUCGAACGGUAACAGGUCCGCCUUUGGCGGACGCUGACGAGUGGCAAACGGGUGAGUAACACGUAGGAAUCUACCUCGUAGCGGGGAAUAGCUCAUCGAAAGGUGAGAUAA
rnacentral:rRNA from 1 species